rnacentral:rRNA from 1 species
GGACUACAGGGGUAUCUAAUCCUGUUUGCUCCCCACGCUUUCGCGUCUCAGCGUCAGUACCGUCCCAGCGAGCUGCCUUCGCCAUUGGUGUUCCUCCCGAUAUCUGCGCAUUUCACCGCUACACCGGGAAUUCCACUCGCCUCUUCCGGACUCUAGCUCGACAGUUUCCACCGGCUUUCCAGGGUUGAGCCCUGAACUUUUACAGCGGACUUACCGAGCCGCCUACACGCUCUUUACGCCCAAUGAUUCCGGACAACGCUUGCCCCCUACGUAUUACCGCGGCUGCUGGCAC